CCGCAGAGCGAGUAGGUGCUGCUGCUGCUGCCGAACCACUCUCCGCACCUCCGGGACCCUCCCUUCCCACCCGCACCCUGUGCGCAGCAGCAUCUCCCACCUCGCUUCCAUCAGUCGAGGUGCAAGAGUUUAUUAGCAAAACUGCUCAGACGAGCAGAAAGGAUGGAGCAAGGGGGACAAAAAUGCGCUGAAGAGACUGGGAGGCAGGAGUCGACUAACCUGAAGCAAAGGAGGAAAGCCUGCAGGAUUCCCAGGCGUAUCUGCCUCACCAGUUGGAGAAGCCGAUGCUCUUUGACCGGACCGAACAGGAGCGAAGCACAACGCCGGUGCUCCUGGCAGCGCUGCUGGCCCCGUGCCUUCCUCUUGCCCCAGCCUCGGGAAAGUAAAUGCUUUCUUGCAACACCUUAAUUUUAAAGGCAGGGGGAAGAGGAUUUUCCUUGGUUUGGGCCCAUUACCAACCCAUCACAGUUACACUUCAUCAACUGUACUUUGCCUGAGUUUAGGCUGCGAGCUCCUCGGGCCAGGACUGCCUCUCGUACACAAACCAGGGGUGUAAGUAAAUGGAAGAAUAAACAGCCUCGCAGAGAGAAGUGGUCACCGGUUUUGUGUCGGUGCUGCUUCGGGCGCUUGUGGAAUGCAAAAGGCUUUGCACCGUGGGUCAGCUGUCCACCAGCUGGCAUGCAGAUGUUGACCUGCUUGCUGCCACCUCAAUGAAAAGGCAGAGCCAGAGGAGCAGCAGCAGCAAGUGGGAGCAGCACACCCUGCCCGUUCUCAGGCAUCGCAGCAUCUCAUUGUGGAGAUGGUUUUGCCGAUGCUGGCUACCCACUUUUGCUUGCACAGGAAACACCGACCCAUGGCGUCGCAAUGGGUGAGAAGGGAGAGGAGAGAGGCCAGGCGUGAGAAAGGCAGGCACAGGUA